GAGGUGCUGCGUUGUACGUUAAAGUUAAUAGUUCCUCGAGCCCGUUUUAUUUUUUAGGGAGCUAUCACUGUCAAUUCAUUGGUAAUUGUUAUAUGGUGCCCACGUUAGCUUGUGUCUCAGGAUACGCAGAAACAUGACGGCAAAUGCGGCUCUCUU
rnacentral:other from 1 species